rnacentral:rRNA from 1 species
CCUACGGGUGGCUGCAGUGGGGAAUAUUGGACAAUGGGCGCAAGCCUGAUCCAGCAAUGCCGCGUGUGUGAAGAAGGCCUGCGGGUUGUAAAGCACUUUGAGUGGGGAAGAAGGCCUGGGGGUUAAUAGCUUCUGGGAUUGACGUUACCCACAGAACAAGCACCGGCUAACUCCGUGCCAGCAGCCGCGGUAAUACGGCGGGUGCGAGCGUUAAUCGGAAUUACUGGGGGUAGUUGGAUCGUAGUGAGUUGAAAGCCCUGGGCUUAACCUGGGAACUGCAUUGGAUACUGUUUGACUGGAGUGUGGUAGAGGGGUGUGGAAUUUCCGGUGUAGCAGUGAAAUGCGUAGAGAUCGGAAGGAACACCAGUGGCGAAGGCGGCACCCUGGACCGACACUGACGCUGAGGUGCGAAAGCGUGGGGAGCAAACAGGAUUAGAUACCCUAGUAGUC